rnacentral:rRNA from 1 species
CAGCAGCCGCGGUAAUACAGAGGUCCCAAGCGUUGUUCGGAUUUACUGGGCGUAAAGGGUGCGUAGGUGGUCGGGUAAGUCUGAUGUGAAAUCUCGGAGCUUAACUCCGAAACGGCAUUGGAUACUAUUCGGCUUGAGGGUUGGAGGGGGGACUGGAAUUCUCGGUGUAGCAGUGAAAUGCGUAGAUAUCGAGAGGAACACCAGUGGCGAAGGCGAGUCCCUGGACAACUCCUGACACUGAGGCACGAAAGCCAGGGGAGCAAACGGGAUUAGAUACCCCGGUAGUCCUGGCCCUAAACGGUGCACGUUUGCUGUAAAAGGAAUCGACCCCUUUUGUGGCGUAGCCAACGCGUUAAACGUGCCGCCUGGGAAGUACGGUCGCAAGAUUAAAACUCAAAGGAAUUGACGG